rnacentral:rRNA from 1 species
AUGACAAAGGAAUUAAUUCGUUUGGGGAUGACACUUGCUCACCAUCUUCCAUUGAAUCUAGUGGAUAAACUCCUUGUGAUGGCAGCGUAUUUAAUAUUUGGAGACCUGUCACGACAUGGCAUCACAAGGCCAAAAAUGGGUCCAAUGACCCUCAAAUCAGAAACAGGCCGAUCUGCAGUGAUUGAUGUUGGGACUGUUGGAUUGAUCAAAAAAGGCAUCAUCAAAGUUCAGGGGAGCAUUAGUAAGAUCGAGGGCAACAUAGUUAAAUUUCAAUGCAGUAAAAGAAUCUCAUUUGAUGCGAUUGUGUUUGCAACUGGAUACAAAAGCACGGCAAAUAUAUGGCUCAAGAAUGGUGAGAGCAUGUUAAAUGGCAACGGACUGCCCAUCCAAAAAUAUCCGAAUCAUUGGAAAGGUGAAAAUGGGCUCUACUGUGCUGGGUUAGCGAGGAGAGGAUUAGCCGGUAUUGCAGCAGAUGCCAAGAAUAUCGCUAAUGACAUCAAAUCUGUGAUAGACUCUAUGUAA